GGAACGAUAGCUCAGUGGUAGAGGUUAGCAUUUACCAUCCUUAGGUCGCCGGUUCGAUCCCGGCUCGUUCCU